rnacentral:rRNA from 1 species
CCCUUAGAUGUUCUGGGCUGCACGCGCGCUACACUGAUGCACUCAACGAGUUUACGACCUUGCCCGAUAGGGUUGGGUAAUCUUUUUAAAAUUCAUCGUGAUGGGGAUAGAUUAUUGCAAUUAUUAAUCUUCAACGAGGAAUUCCUAGUAAGCGCGAGUCAUCAGCUCGUGCUGAUUACGUCCCUGCCCUUUGUACACACCGCCCGUCGCUCCUACCGAUUGAGUGCUCAGGUGAAUAAUUCGGACUGCAGCAAUGUUUGGAUCCCGAACGUUGCAGCGGAAAGUUUAGUGAACCUUAUCACUUAGAGGAAGGAGAAGUCGUAACA